rnacentral:rRNA from 1 species
AUGGGAACGCGAAGAACCUUACCUACCCUUGACAUGGCAGGAAUCCUGGAGAGAUCUGGGAGUGCUCGAAAGGGAACCUGCACACAGGUGCUGCAUGGCUGUCGUCAGCUCGUGUCGUGAGAUGUUGGGUUAAGUCCCGCAACGAGCGCAACCCUUGUCAUUAGUUGCUACGAAAGGGCACUCUAAUGAGACUGCCGGUGACAAACCGGAGGAAGGUGGGGAUGACGUCAAGUCCUCAUGGCCCUUAUGGGUAGGGCUUCACACGUCAUACAAUGGUACAUACAGAGGGCCGCCAACCCGCGAGGGGGAGCUAAUCCCAGAAAGUGUAUCGUAGUCCGGAUUGCAGUCUGCAACUCGACUGCAUGAAGUUGGAAUCGCUAGUAAUCGCGGAUCAGCAUGUCGCGGUGAAUACGUUCCCGGGUCUUGUACACACCG